AUUGAACGCUGGCGGCAUGCUUUACACAUGCAAGUCGAACGGCAGCGGGGGCUUCGGCCUGCCGGCGAGUGGCGAACGGGUGAGUAAUGCAUCGGAACGUGCCCAUGUCGUGGGGGAUAACGUAUCGAAAGGUACGCUAAUACCGCAUACGUCCUGAGGGAGAAAGCGGGGGAUCUUCGGACCUCGCGCGAUUGGAGCGGCCGAUGUCGGAUUAGCUAGUAGGUGAGGUAAAGGCUCACCUAGGCGACGAUCCGUAGCGGGUCUGAGAGGAUGAUCCGCCACACGGGGACUGAGACACGGCCCAGACUCCUACGGGAGGCAGCAGUGGGGAGUUUUGGACAAUGGGCGCAAGCCUGAUCCAGCCAUGCCGCGUGAGUGAAGAAGGCCUUCGGGUUGUAAAGCUCUUUCGGCCGGGAAGAAAUCGUGUUCUCUAACAUAGGACAUGGAUGACGGUACCGGACUAAGAAGCACCGGCUAACUACGUGCCAGCCGCCGCAGUAAUAC
rnacentral:rRNA from 1 species